GCCGAUGUGGUGGAAUUGGUAGACGCACUGGAUUCAAAAUCCAGCCCUUUAGGGGGUGACGGUUCGAUUCCGUCCAUCGGUACCA
rnacentral:tRNA from 1 species